GGAGUAGAGAGGGUCAGGCUGCCUGGGACAGCAAGCAGGCUAUCUGAGGCAGAGCAGGGCUGGGAAAUGGCAGGCAGAGCUGAGGGGCUCUGGCUUGCAUGAAGUCAAGAUAAACAGAUACCAGUAAGACACUCCAGUAAACUCUUCCGGGAUGUCUCCUGUCAUAACGACAGCUGUGGAAUUCUGUGGAACGCUGAGGAGAUCGACAUCCACUUCUAAAUGGGUUUGUGUCUGUGGGUUUAUUUGUGAGGUUACAAGGAAACAGAAUCCAAAGAACCUCAAGACUCACUUUUGAAAGCCUCUGCAGAAAACUAAUAAUAUUUAAUGAAUGUCUAUAUCUGAAAUCCACACCUUAGUGGUAUUACAGGUGACCAAGAUCCAAAUACCCCUACACAGUUGCUGUACCUACAUCUUGGGGGAGAGUUUCAAAAGCUCCCAGGGGAAUUAGAAUCACAAGUCUCACUGAAAGCCUGUUGAAAAAUCUCUUCCCUUGUUGUUAAUGUACAGACAAUCCACUUUUCUAGUUUAAAGAGAUUAUGUUA